AGUGAACGCUGGCGGUAGGCCUAACACAUGCAAGUCGAACGGCAGCACCGUAAGAGCUUGCUCUUACGGGUGGCGCGUGGCGGACGGGUGAGGAAUACAUCGGAAUCUACUUUUUCGUGGGGGAUAACGUAGGGAAACUUACGCUAAUACCGCAUACGACCUACGGGUGAAAGCAGGGGAUCUUCGCACCUUGCGCGGUUGAUUGAGCCGAUGUCGGAUUAGCUAGUUGGCGGGGUAAAGGCACACCAAGGCGACGAUCCGUAGCUGGUCUGAGAGGAUGAUCAGCCACACUGGAACUGAGACACGGUCCAGACUCCGACGGGAGGGAGCAGUGGGGAAUAUUGGACAAUGGGCGCAAGCCUGAUCCAGCCAUACCGCGUGGGUGAAGAAGGCCUUCGGGUUGUAAAGCCCUUUUGUUGGGAAAGAAAAGCAGCAGGUUAAUACCCCGCUGUUCUGACGGUACCCAAAGAAUAAGCACCGGCUAACUUCGUG
rnacentral:rRNA from 1 species